UGUAAACCUUGCAGUUUCUCUGGAACUAGGGACACUGCACCCAGACCACUUCAAUAAGCUGAAGUGGUCUAGGUACCUAUAGUGUCCAUUUAAAGUGUCCCACUCUCUACAUCAGAAAACAUUUUAACUCUGUUCUAUUUAUAAAUUCAGUCACAAAACUGAUUCGUAACAUUUGUCAUAAGGGUACAACUGAAUUCUGGUAAAUAAAUGUAGUUUGCAGUAGUGUUUAU